AGAGUUUGAUCAUGGCUCAGGACGAACGCUGGCGGCAUGCCUAAUACAUGCAAGUCGAACGAGCUGACAGAGUGCUUGCACUCUCGACGCGAGUGGCGGACGGGUGAGUAACACGUGGGAAACCUACCUAUAAGUAUGGGAUAACAUUCGGAAACGGAUGCUAAUACCAUAUAGAUUUUAGUUCCGCAUGGAACUGAAAGAAAAGACGGCUUUGCUGUCGCUUAUAGAUGGUCCCGCGGCGCAUUAGCUAGUUGGUGAGAUAAAAGCUCACCAAGGCUAUGAUGCGUAGCCGACCUGAGAGGGUAACCGGCCACACUGGGACUGAGACACGGCCCAGACUCCUACGGGAGGCAGCAGUAGGGAAUCUUCCGCAAUGGACGAAAGUCUGACGGAGCAAUGCCGCGUGAAUGAAGAAGGUCUUCGGAUCGUAAAAUUCUGUUGUUAGAGAAGAACAAGGAGUAAGUAACUACUACUCCCUUGACGGUAUCUAACCAGAAAGCCACGGCUAACUACGUGCCAGCAGCCGCGGUAAUACGUAGGUGGCAAGCGUUGUCCGGAUUUAUUGGGCGUAAAGGGAGCGCAGGCGGUGAUUUAAGUCUGAUGUGAAAGCCCACGGCUCAACCGUGGAAGGUCAUUGGAAACUGGAUCACUUGAAUAUAGAAGAGGAAAGUGGAAUUCCAUGUGUAGCGGUGAAAUGCGUAGAUAUAUGGAGGAACACCAGUGGCGAAGGCGACUUUCUGGUCUAUUAUUGACGCUGAGGCUCGAAAGCAUGGGUAGCAAACAGGAUUAGAUACCCUGGUAGUCC
rnacentral:rRNA from 1 species